AGCGCUGCCGUCGCCGCAGAUGGCGAUGACGGAGUGAGCCUUGACGAGCAAGAGGAGGACGAUGACGGAGGCCGCCCCCGCCGAGUGCGCAGGCAGCGGUGGCAGCCGCAUUGGCGACAUUCUCUCGGGGUCUGGGAGCUGACGCAGAGGAUCUUUGAGAAUCUCAGCUUCAGAGAAGUUGCAAGACUAAGAGCAGUAUGCAGGACUUGGGCGGAUGUUGGAGCCAAGAUACUAGAGAAACGCAGAAGACUGCACUACUUGACCAUUCAUCCGCACAGCAUCCCCACCACAGAGGGGAAGGUGACUAUUGGUGAAUUAUCUCCAAGCAGUUUGUUUGAAGGGUUUUUUGAGCACAUUGUUAGCAGACCUCGAUAUUGCUUUGGAUUCUGCAAUGAAG